rnacentral:lncRNA from 10 species
UCUCCAGCCAGGGAGGUGCAGGAAUAAAGGGGGUGUGGGGAGACAGGAAGAGGCUGAGCUUGUGGGGCCUGAGAGCCUCUCCCCUGGGCAGGGUGGGGUCAUUGGGCUGCCUUAGAUUCCCCCCCCCACCUCUCAGCCUGCUGCCUCUGGACAAAGCUCUGCAGAGGAGCCCCAUCUCCUUCAGCCCCCUCCUGCCUUUGGGGUGCAAGUUUCCUGAAGGACUUGAGUGAGAUGUCACCAAGCAACAGGCUGUCAGGCUCUUGGCAGCAAGUACUGGCCCAGCGACUCGCGGCAGAGUCUCUCCUUGGGGCGUCUGUCCUUAUCAGGGGUGGAUGCUGUCAGACUUGCUAAUGGUGGAAUUUCUGGCAUGUGGCAGGGCCAAGUGCAGUGGCUCACACCUAUAAUCCCAGCACUUUGGGAGGCUGAGGCACGAGGAUUGCUUGAGCCCAGGAGUUCAUCACCAGCCUGGGCAAUAUAGCCAGACCCGGUCUCCACAAAAAAAUUUUUAAAAAUUAGCUGGGCAUGGUGGCCUGUGCCUGUAGUCCCAGCUCUUUGGGAGACUGAGGCAGGAGGAUCAACUUGAGCCCAGAAGGUCGAAGCUGCAGUAAGCCAUGGUCAUGCCAGCGGAGUUGAGCCUGGACCACAGAGCAAGACACUAUAGGGAAGACAGCCAGGUGAAAAUGAAGGCAGAGACCAGAGUUAUGCAUCCGAAAGGCAAGGAAUGCCGGGGGCUGCCAGAAGCUGGAAGAGGCAAGGCAGGAUCCCCCACUAAAGGCCUUGGAGGGAGCAUGGCUUUAGCAGCACCUCAAUUUGGGAUGUCUAUUUUCCGGAACAGCGGGAAUAAGUGUCUGCUGCUGUAAGCCACCCUGCCUGUGGCACUUUGUUACAGCAGCCCAGGAACCUGACCCAGCCAGGCUGCUCCUGCUGCCCAGUGUGCCCUUCUCUCAUCCCUCCAGCUGGUCUCUCACUGCCUUCGAGCCCCAUCACCUGCUCGGGCUCCCCCUCUGUGUGUCCCCAGUUCUGGACACUUAUUCAGCAGACCUGUAAGUUUUGCUGGCCAGCCUAUCUCCCUGGCUAGACUGAAGGCUCCUUCAGGGCAGGCCUAACCUGUGCUAGGGCAGCAUGAUGCCUGGUACAGAAUAGGGGCUCCUUAGAUGUGGGGUAAAUAAAGGAAUGCUCGAAGGGUGAUGGGCCCCUGUGAGACUGGGAUGUGCCAUCUACUUCUUCACAGCCUGGCUCAGCUCAGGCUAGGGACAUGACAGUGCUCAGAGAGGUCACAGCAUCUUCCACACAGACCAUUCCCAGCUCCGCCACUCUCCAGUUCCCUCUUGGUGCCAUAUGAGUCUGAGGAACUUGGGGAAAUUCCUAACCUUCCCUUUCAAUUGAGCCAUUAGCCCUUGGAGUUAGCCACAACGUAAUUGCUCAGGUCCCUCCAACAAGGGGACUGUGUCUGUGGCUUGAUGACUCAUGCACACUGCUCCAUUCCACAACCUUGGGCAGGACUUGGGGCUGGGGACAGUGCCAGCCAGCAUAGGCAAGGAGCUUGGACAUCCCAUUACCCCAACCCAGUCCCCAGGAACAGAGUGUACUCAAGGUUUCAGGACAAAAAUCUAGAAGCAAGGAGGCGAACUGAGUGAGAUUUGAGUGACGAAAAGGAGCAGACAAAGACAACAGCGAGUACAAAGGCCCUGAGGCAGGAACGAGCUUGGCAUGAUCAAGAACUGAAAAGAGCACAGGGGAGGCUGCAGCACAGUGAAAGAGAGGUCAGUGAUAGGACAUGCGAUUAGACGGGGCCCACUAGACAAUCCAGGAUAAUCCCUCCCUCUCAAGGCCCUUAAUUUAAUCAUAUCUGCAAAGUGCCUUCUGCCAUGUCGGGGAACGUAUUCACAGGCUCUGGGGAGUGCAGCGCAGACAUCUUUAGGGAUGGGCAUUAUUGUGUCUACCGCAGUAUCUCUCUCACCCUCUUGUCUGUCUCUCUUGCUCUAUCGCUACAUUUCUGUUUACCUAUCUACCUAUUUAUUUGAACCUGACCAUGGAUCUAUUGACCACAAUUUAUUUCUCUUCCUACCCCUUUAUCAAGCUUCAAUAAGUUAUUUAUCAAUCUAUCAUUCCUCAGUGGCUUUGAUCUUUUACUCUGAUAACAGCAUCACCCCUUAGCCAUCUGUCUAACAAACUAAACGUUAAACUCAAUCUAUCAUUUAGUUGUCCUCUGUCCAUGAUGAAUUAUCAAUCAUCUACCUCCAUCUUUGCAGAUGUUGUACAGAUGUGGACAUUUUUUCUCAAUGUCUAUUGAAAAGAUCGAUAGAUAUGAGUUCAGUAAAUAUCCACUGAGUGCUGGCCACGUGCCCAUUGCUAUGUCAUGUGUGGGUGAAAUAAGGGGCUGACACUCCCAGUAGCCAUAGAGGGUCCUUUUUCAUUUUAUCAUUAUCCCCAACAAUGCUGUGAUCACCAAUCCAGGCACACUGUCCAAUUUUGUCAUCCACCUUGGAAUCUUUUUUUUUUUUUUUUGAGAUAGGGCUCUUGCUCUGUCACACAGGCUGGAGGGCAGUGGUGUGAUCACAGCUCACUGCAGCCUCAAUCUCCCAGGCUUAAGCAAUCCUCCCACCUCAGCCUCCAGAGUAUCUAGGACUACAAGCAAGUGCCACCAUGCCCAGCUAAUUUUUGUAUUUUUUAAGAGACAAGGUCUCACUAUGUUGCCCACGCUGGUCUCAAACACCUAGACUCAAGCAAUCCUCCUCCCUUAGCCUCCCGAAGUGUUAGGAUUAUAGGCAUGAGCCACUGGCCCUGUCCAGGGACCAUUUUUAUAUAAACUUUCCAGUGAAAUCCAGGCUGCUCUAGUCUGCCUUUUGCCUACUAGCCUCCUUGUAUAUGCAUAAAUAAUGCAGACUCAUUUUAACUUGAUGUUGAUCUUACAUAAAGUGUGGGUGGAAAAGUAUAUCUGCUGGGCAAGCAUCUAGUGCAUCAAAUAACGAAUCCUAAAGUUAAAUGGAAAUUAUUUUUAGGUUGUCUGGGCAAAUAGCACAGAAGGUGGGGGGAAUCCAGAGAUAUGACCUCAGAUGUGACACAUGCAGACACACGACACACCACACAUACACACACACACACACACACACACACACGCAUAUGGGUACACACAAAUGCACCUUCUCUCUUCCUUCUGCCCCCACACUAGCAGCUCCUUCCUGGCUUCCUCCGCCCCUCACUCACACAAAGGGCCAAAGCAAAUACUUCAGCACUGAGUCAUGUCCUACCUCAUCUUGUUUCCAGCCUAGGAAUCUCACCUCCCCACCUGGGCUGUGAGGUCUUCUGGGGCAAAGAUGGUGUCUGCUUCUCCUUAGGUGUGCCCUCCUAGUCUGAUCAGCCAGAGGACUGGACACCUAGGAGCUGCUUGCCUUUCCUUGAGCUCCGAGGGCAGUUGAGGAUCAGGGAGGCAAGGGAGCUAGAUGUCCAGUGGUAGACGCUCUCUAGGGCAGCCUCUUUGCCCCCCCAGGAAUCUGCCUCUCCUGCCCAACCCGGAUGCCAGAUAACAUAGGUUUCUUUUUUCUGUAGCACUCUCCUAGAGGAGCUGUGUUAGGUAGAUAAUCUGCCUAGAGCUGGCCUAGCUGGGGAUCAACUCAACAAGAAUUUCUUGUUUCCAAGCGUCUCCUUCACAUGGGCAUCCAGUGCCAAUUUGUGUCCAAGUCUCUUCCCUAGCACACGGGAUGGAGGUCCAGCAUAUUUGGAGACAGCUCACUGUGUGCCAGAGCCACAGGUCCUAGAAUAUCCAGCAAUCACAGUACCCAGGGCCACCCCAGCCUCACAAGUCACUGUGCCCAAGGCCCUGAGGGAAGAACAGCUUGCUCACUAGUGCCUGAAGGAGGCUCCCAAGGCAGCCACCUUGUACACUGGAGACACUCCCAGCAGUGGGAGGCAGAUCAAGGCCAGGACACCGUUAAUGAAGCUUUGACUAGGGUGAGGCAUCUCAGGGCCAGCUGGCCUUGCUGCUUCUCACCCCACUCUAAGCCUUGAUCUGUCCACAUACUUGACCCUGUUAGAAUCUGGUGUCUGCCCCUCCCCCAUCCUGAUGUAACACAUCUCUGUAGCCUGAAGCCGGCCCAGUUCUUGGCUCAGAGCUACUGCGUCUGCAGCACAGAUCUGUCCCUGAGCACAGCUCGCACCAGCUUCCCUGCAGGCCUAGAGCCCAAGCCCUGGCCUCAGGCAAUCUCCGCUUCCCUUGAGGCCAGCCCAGAGCCCCAACUCAGUGAGUUCUCAUGAACUGUUUAGACUCCACCAGGUAAUGAAUUGUCCCCACUCUGCUGUCUCAGGAGCCAGGCUGGGCCAGGUAUUCUCAGAUUGAAUUUGUUGGGAAGAAAGGGCACUCCACCUGCUGGAGGAGGGAGCACCUCCUGGAGGCCAUGCCGCUCAGAAACUUUCUUCCCACACAGCUUCCAGCCCCAGGCUGCCCACCCAAGUCUCAGCAGGCCAAAGGCCUAGUGAGGCUUUUCUGUGCCCCUGCUGGAGCCCAACGUCCAUGAGAAGGCUCUAGAAUGCAUUUAGGAUCUGAGACUGGUCCAGCUGAAACAGCCCAGAGAGACCCUAAUCCUGGGGCCCAGAGAGAGCCAAACAGGCCCCAGGCCACACAGAGGGCAGCCCUGAGGCUAGCCUAGAGGGCAGGUUUCUUGCCCCUUCCUACCAGGAGAAGCGUGUCCUUGCCACACCAAUGAUGUUUCUGUCCCUGGGUGGAUUCCAAGCACCUGCGGGGCAACCAGCACUGCCCAAAUGCAGAGGGCUUCUUGGGUUCCCCCAGUAACCCCAAGGUCGACUCCUCCCCUCCAUCUCCACAGCUCCUGCCCCUGCCCUUCCCCCCUUCCCAGUCUUGCUCCCUACAUACUCCAGUACAAGCAAAUUCAUGAAUUCGGUACAUACAUUUCCAGACCUUUUUUUCCCGUACAAAAAUGCACAUGUUUGUGUCUCUGUGUGUGUUCAGAGAAAAAUGUAAACUUUCAUUUUGUAGGGUUUUUUUUUUGUUUGUUUUGUUUGCUUUUUUUUUUUUUUUUACUAUGAGUGGGAUCAUACUGCACAUAUUACCCUGAAAG